rnacentral:rRNA from 1 species
CCUACGGGGGGCAGCAGUGAGGAAUAUUGGUCAAUGGCCGGAAGGCUGAACCAGCCAUGCCGCGUGAAGGUCAGUGCCCUAUGGGCGUUAAACUUCUUUUGUGCGGGAGCAAUAAUGGUCACGUGUGGCCAGACGAGAGUACCGUACGAAUAAGCAUCGGCUAACUCCGUGCCAGCAGCCGCGGUAAUACGGUGGAUGCAAGCGUUAUCCGGAUUUAUUGGGUUUAAAGGGUGCGUAGGCUGUGAGGUAAGUCAGCGGUGAAAUGCCCCCGCUCAACGGGGUGAAGUGCCAUUGAUACUGCCUGGCUGGAAUGCGGAUGCCGUGGGAGGAAUGUGUGGUGUAGCGGUGAAAUGCAUAGAUAUCACACAGAACACCGAUUGCGAAGGCAUCUCACGAAUCCGCGAUUGACGCUGAUGCACGAAAGCGUGGGUAUCAAACAGGAUUAGAUACCCUUGUAGUC